AAACUUUCUCCGACCCUAUCUCGGGAUGCUACGGCUCAGGUCGUGGUGGUUUCGGGAACCUCAAGACAACAUUCCCCAGCUGACCUUUGGGAACUUUAACUCGGGUCGUCAUGUACGGAAAGGUAGUCUAUGGGGUACGCAGAAUGGAAAAGGGCUUCCACAUCAGUCGUGUCCGAGGACGCUCUCCAACUUUUGAUGUCCCUGGAGAGUUUCUGAUAUUUCCCUGGAGAGUUUCAGAAAGGAUUUCUUCCGACAGACGUGACCCCAGAAGGCUGCCGAGGGAGACUUUAGGACAAGAGGCGUUGUUUUUUUAGGGAAGGAAGAGGAGCCUGUGCAGAGUUGAACUGGGGUGGAGAGGUGCCUUGUAAAGUAUGGUUUCCAGAGAUGGUGAGACCUCGUAGCUAAGCGUUGUUUCCUCUGCACGUAACUGUGAGUUGUGAACUUGUGGCUCCUGGGGGAGCGGGACAGGGCCUGGCAGUGCGGGGGAGGGGGCAAGGAAUUCAGGAAGUUGGCGAGAAUUCUUCGUUUUUCAUUCUUCGUUGUAAAUUGCUUCUAAACACUUCUGAAUUUUAAAUUGCUACCGAGAAGGUCCAGAAACCGUUCUCAUCCAAUUUAGUCACUUUUAUUACGUUCCACUUUGCCUCCCCCAAUCACUGCGGCGGCUCCCAGUUUCAGCGUGGCCGCAUUUGGAAAAGGCUGAAGGUAGAAAACUCUGGAAUGGAGAGGCUGGCGACUGGAGCAGGAUCCAGGGGCUUUAAAUUUUAACCUGAAUGCGAUCGAAUGCGCGACUCCCAGAAGAGAUAGCCAGGCGUCCGCCCGGCCGCUCAACCCCCGCCAGGACUCGGAAUGCCUUGCUUUUGGUUCUUUUCUACAAGGAUGUCUGCGUGGAUAUCCCUGGACACUCGAUACCCCCCGGGGACCUGCUUUUCCCGCAGCUCCGCAGACGCGGCGGGAGGGCGCGCUGGCCCCGGCGCUGCUGGGACAGAGGUGAGCAGCGGGGUGGACAUUGACCGAUUCGACAACGUUCGGGCUCUAAGGGCUCGGGAAGGGACCCGGCAUUUUACCCUCCAGAUUCCCAAUCUAUUUUUAAAAAUAAUGUUCAAAACAUAUGGGAAAAAUAAGUGAUUGCUCCUUUUCAUGGUCACAGAUUGUAUUUAUUUUUUCAGACUGGUUUUCCAACCUAACGAGGGAAUGGGUAGUGAAUGUUGUUGUUGUUGUUGUUGUUUAUGUUGGUUAAUUUCGAAAUAAAACUGUUUAACUCGUACAGUUGAUUCAGACAGAAAACCA
rnacentral:lncRNA from 10 species